UUAACAUUAAUUUAUUUAAAUAAUUAAAAUUAUUAGAAAUUUAUUUUAUCAAAUUAUUUUUAAUUUAUAAAAUAUCACCGAUAAAAAUCAAAAUUUUGAUUUAAAAAUGGAUAAUUAAUAAUUAUUUAUACGGAGAGAGGAAAAUUGUUCUCAUGAUUUGUUUCCUUUUUUUUUUAAUCUCUACUUAAUCUAAAAAUCAAAAGGGCGACCCACUUCUCUCACUGGGGCCUCGGGCAUCAAGAAGCCCUUUUCUGAAGUUGCCCUCCAAGAGAAUCCCUAAAAAGGUCCUAUUUUCCUCUGCCCCUCUCAAUCCUCGCAGGAAAUCCCCAGUUUGAUUACAUGAAGACUAAGGUACAAAAAGAUAGGGAUUAACAAAGGAGAUACGAUUAUUGAAUUAAAUCUUUUGUAUAUGAUGCUUUGAAAAAAAAAAAAAAAAGGUCCAAAAAAUAUCAGGAAUGUCAAAUUGUGCCCAUGAUCAGUAACAAAUUUGAUAAUAUUACUAAAGAAAUUUAAAUACUAAAUUUCACAAAAAAUAUAAAUAAACAAAUACUAAAGAGGGAGGGAAAAGAAUUAAAGACAUGUACCUGAAAGAAGCCCCAUUCUUGGCAGGCACGGUGGAGCUUCUCCAGUUCUGAAUGGGUGAAAUCUGCUGACAGUAAACGGUGGAGAUCGAUGAUGGGGACAUGGGGCAUAGAAUCAGUAGCGUUGGAUAAGACUGGAGAGUCUUGUUCAGGACGCACGUAUCGAUGUGGGACUGCUGUUAGAGGCUCCUUCACCAGCUCCUGAACACAAGGCACCAGCAGAGAGCUUCCAAGGCUUGACAGUCCUGACUCCAUAGCUGUCGGCAAGAGAUAAUGAUAUUGUCUAUCCCUGAAACAAAGGAUCUGUUAUAGUCUUACAGACUGAGACGAAGCCAAAUAUGAUGAUGUUUUUCAAAUUUCAAAAAUGAAAAGUAGUCAACAUAUCAUUUUCAUUUUU